UGCGCGGGGCGGCCGCCGCUCAUGGGCACCGCCCGCGGGCCGGAGGGACAUGGCGGGGCCGGAGUGCUCUGCCGGGCCGGCUCCUGCGAAGGGAGGGGGCUGCCGGGCUGCCCGGCUGCCCUUCUGGGAGCCCAGAGACCGGGGGAGACAGUGGUGUCCCUCCCCCGCCCCGCUCAGAAAAGCCCCAACCCCACAGUGCUGCCCACAGAGGCGCCUCUGCCGGAGAGGCCAAAAGGGUCUGGGAGGGAAGCGCUGCUGUGGUUAUCUGGCCGUCUGGCAGGCUAGGAGUUUGGAAGAUCGCAGAAUCAAUUAGGUCUCUGACCUAUAACUGAACCUAUGACUUCCAACCUAUAACUCAGCCACCACCAUGUCUACUAGACCACGACCCUAAAUGCCAUGUCCAGUGUUUCCUUAAACACCUCCAGGGACAGUGACUCCACCAGCUCCCUGAGCAGACCAUUCCAAAGAUGACAAAAGACUGCCUUGGAUUGAAGGUGGAAUUCAGUUACGCUGCAGGCAAUACAAGCAGGGGAGAGAGAAGCUAGGAAGAGGAAGAGGAAGGAGAGCGAAAGAAACUACGUUUCCCGGCGUGCCCCCGCGGCCUCGGGGCGGCGCGGGCGGAGGGAAGGGCAGGGAGCCGCCGUGGGAGACGUACCAUGGGCGCCUGA